GAAGGCAGAGGUCGCACCACUGCAGGCCAGCCUGGGUGACAGAUCGAGACUGUCUCAAAAAAACUGGGAUAACAAGAGCAUCUUCCUCAAAGGCUGGCUGUGGGGAUAAAGCAGUCAUGCUUAAAACCUAGAACAGCCCAGCUGCAGGUAAGUGCUCAGUCUACAUCUACUGUGAGCACCAAUCUGUGACGUCAACUCUGCACCCUUAGCAGUUUGAGAGAGAGGAAAAUGAUAAAAAUUUAACUCAGGGCCAGGCGUGGUGGAUCACACCUGCAAUCCGAGGACUUUGGGAGGCCGAGGCAGGAGGAUUGCCUGAGGCCAGGAGUUUGAGACCAGCCUGGGCAACAUGGUGAGACUCUGGUCUCUACAAAAAAUUUUAAAAUUGGCCAGGUGUGGUGGUGCCUGCCUAUAGUCCCAGCUACUCAGGAUGCUGAGACUACACAGGGUGCAUGACACCAUGCCUGGCUAAUUUUUAAAUUUUUUGUAAAGACAGGGGUCUCACUACAUUGCCCAGGCUUGUCUCAAAC
rnacentral:antisense_RNA from 1 species